rnacentral:rRNA from 1 species
GACGAACGCUGGCGGCGUGCUUAACACAUGCAAGUCGAGCGGUAAGGCCCUUUCGGGGGUACACGAGCGGCGAACGGGUGAGUAACACGUGGGUGACCUGCCCUCAGCUCUGGGAUAAGCCUGGGAAACUGGGUCUAAUACUGGAUAUGACUCCACGGUGCAUGUCGUGGGGUGGAAAGCCUUGUGCGGCUGAGGAUGGGCCCGCGGCCUAUCAGCUUGUUGGUGGGGUGAGGCCUACCAAGGCGACGACGGGUAGCCGGCCUGAGAGGGCGACCGGCCACACUGGGACUGAGACACGGCCCAGACUCCUACGGGAGGCAGCAGUGGGGAAUCUUGCGCAAUGGGCGAAAACCUGACGCAGCGACGCCGCGUGAGGGAUGACGGCC